AAGUCGUAACAAGGUUUCCGUAGGUGAACCUGCGGAAGGAUCAUUACAGAAUAAACUUGAUAGGUUGUUGCUGGCUCUCUUAACUGAGCAAGUGCACGCUUGUCAAUUUUUAUCUUUCCACCAUGUGCACUAUGCAUAGGAACAUCACUUGAACAAAGUAGCCUUUGUUUAUUGGGGACUGCUAUUAAGUUGGCUUUCUCUGAUGUUCCUAUGAUUUUUAUAUAUACACCUUUUUAUGUAAAGAACGCUUCAAAGGGCCUAUAAAGCCCUAUAAACUAUAAUACAACUUUCAGCAACGGAUCUCUUGGCUCUC
rnacentral:misc_RNA from 1 species